CCCACAUCUUCUUCUUAUCCGACCGCUGCGUUCUCAUCCUCCUCCACCACUGGAUCUGGCCACCACCAAGGUUUCCCCUCACCCAGCUUAGAGCGGCAAUGUACGCUACUUCUCCAGCCGCCGGCAAGGUGCGGACGCUGGCCGCUGGCCGACGCGGGGGUCGUGCCGUUCCUUGUGCAGCAGCUCACAGUGACCUACACGUCCGCCACCGGUGAGAACGCGGCAACACGCUAAUCAGCAUCUCCCUCCCCGCAGCUCAUGUCAUCUCCCGUCCCGCUUGUCUCCCAUCCGGCCAGCAACAAUCUCGUCCUGCCUAGCUUGGAUCCGUGGAUGGCGAGUGGAUCAAGCAACUUGGAUGCCGGUGGCUGCGGCUCAUCUCCAACCCAAUGCACGGUCUACUAGUUAAUGCAAGUGAUAAAUUGAUGUUUGGAGCGUAUACAUGCCAAAAGAAAACAUUUGUGUUGUCUGUCCAGUUAAUUAAGA
rnacentral:rRNA from 1 species